rnacentral:rRNA from 1 species
AGAGUUUGAUCCUGGCUCAGAACGAACGCUGGCGGCAGGCCUUAUACAUGCAAGUCGAGCGCAUCCUUCGGGAUGAGCGGCGGACGGGUGAGUAACGCGUGGGAAUGUGCCCUUCUCUACGGAAUAGCCACUGGAAACGGUGAGUAAUACCGUAUACGCCCUCAGGGGGAAAGAUUUAUCGGAGAAGGAUCAGCCCGCGUUAGAUUAGGUAGUUGGUGGGGUAACGGCCUACCAAGCCUACGAUCUAUAGCUGGUUUUAGAGGAUGAUCAGCCACACUGGGACUGAGACACGGCCCAGACUCCUACGGGAGGCAGCAGUAGGGAAUCUUGGACAAUGGGGGCAACCCUGAUCCAGCCAUGCCGCGUGAGUGAAGAAGGCCCUAGGGUCGUAAAGCUCUUUCGCCUGUGAUGAUAAUGACAGUAGCAGGUAAAGAAACCCCGGCUAACUCCGUGCCAGCAGCCGCGGUAAUACGGAGGGGGUUAGCGUUGUUCGGAAUUACUGGGCGUAAAGCGCGCGUAGGCGGAUUGGAAAGUUGGGGGUGAAAUCCCGGGGCUCAACCCCGGAACUGCCUUCAAAACUCCCAGUCUAGAGUUCGAGAGAGGUGAGUGGAAUUCCGAAUGUAGAGAUGAAAUUCGUAGAUAUUCGGAAGAACACCAGUGGCGAAGGCGGCUCACUGGCUCGAUACUGACGCUGAGGUGCGAAAGUGUGGGGAGCAAACAGGAUUAGAUACCCUGGUAGUCCACACCGUAAACGAUGAAUGCCAGUCGUCGGAUAGUAUACUAUUCGGUGACACACCUAACGGAUUAAGCAUUCCGCCUGGGGAGUACGGUCGCAAGAUUAAAACUCAAAGGAAUUGACGG